rnacentral:ncRNA from 1 species
GGCCCAGUGCGGUAACGCAAACCAGCUCGGAGACGCCGAUGCGAGCCCCGGGAAGAGUUUUCUUUUCUCUGUAAGGAGAUCGAGUCCCUGGAAUGGGUUCGCCCCGAGAUAGGGAUGGUGGCUCCGUAGAGCAGUGCGGUUCUUGCGCUGUCCGGUGCGCUCGCGUCGGCCCUUGAAAAUCCGAGUGAGGGAGUGUGAUUUUCGUGCCGGACCGUACCCACAUCCGCAGCAGGUCUCCAAGGUGAACAGCCUCUAGUCGAUGGACCAAUGUAGGUAAGGGAAGUCGGCAAAACGGAUCCGUAACCUUGGGAUAAGGAUUGGCUCUGAGGACUGAGCCGGUCGGGCUGGGGACCUGAAGCAGGAACGGCACUGCACCGGGACUGGGCGGGGUUCGCCGUUCACGCGGCGCGGCCAAGCCCGGACCAGCGUCGGGACCUUCCUGUGGAAAGCCUCAGCUGCGCGGCGUCUGAGGGCUUCGUGCCCAAAGUGCUAUGCUUCGGCCGGCAAAAAACAGUCAACUCAGAACUGGCACGGACCGGGGGAAUCCGACUGUCUAAUUAAAACAAAGCAUUGCGAUGGCCGCUGGUCGGUGUUGACGCAAUGUGAUUUCUGCCCAGUGCUCUGAAUGUCAACGUGAAGAAAUUCAUCAAAGCGCGGGUAAACGGCGGGAGUAACUAUGACUGACCAUAAAGUUCGGACCUUGACUAUGGAUCACGGUAGAGCCUCCGACUUCCCACGGGAUGUGUACCUCCUCGAUGGUACCGCUGGAAACGGUUGU